rnacentral:rRNA from 1 species
AAUUGGUAGAGGAGCAUUCUUAAAGGGACGAAGCAGUACCGAAAGGAGCUGUGGACUUUUAAGAAGAGAGAAUGCCGGAAUGAGUAGCGAGAGGAAGGUGGGAAUCCUUCCGGCCGAAUAUCUAAGGUUUCCAGAGUAAAGCUGAUCUGCUCUGGGUAAGUCGGGGCCUAAGGCGAGGUCGAAAGACGUAGUCGAUGGAUAACAGGUUGAAAUUCCUGUACUAUCCUGUAACAGAACUGUGGGGACACAGGCAGAGAGCGUGAGCCGGGAAUGGAAAGACCGGUACAAGCGAGGUAGGAGAAGAGUUGGCAAAUCCGCUCUUUAAUCUGAAGACGUGAUGUGGACUGAAAAUAAGUAGGGAAGCACGUGAGCUGACUGUCAAGAAAAGCCGCUAUUGUUUGCAGGAUACCCGUACCGUAAACCGACACAGGUGGAUGAGGAGAGAAUCCUAAGGCCGACGGGAGAAGCAUUGUUAAGGAACUCGGCAAAAUGACUCCGUAACUUCGGGAGAAGGAGUGCCAGUAAGAUGGCCGCAGAGAAUUGGCCCAAGCAACUGUUUAGCAAAAACACAGGUCUAUGCAAAACCGAAAGGUGAGGUAUAUGGGCUGACGCCUGCCCGGUGCUGGAAGGUUAAGGGGAGAGGUUAGCGCAAGCGAAGCUUUGAACUUAAGCCCCAGUAAACGGCGGCCGUAACGAUAACGGUCCUAAGGUAGCGAAAUUCCUUGUCGGGUAAGUUCCGACCCGCACGAAAGGCGUAAUGAUUUGGGCACUGUCUCAACAAUGCACCCGGUGAAAUUGAAAUACCAGUGAAGAUGCUGGUUACCUGCGCCAGGACGGAAAGACCCCAUGGAGCUUUACUCCAGCUUGAUACUGGGAUUCGGUAUUGCAUGUACAGGAUAGGUGGGAGGCUAGGAAAUGGUAACGCCAGUUGCCAUGGAGCCAAUGUUGGGAUACCACCCUUGCAGUACUGGGUUUCUAACCAGCGGCCGUGAUCCGGCUGGGGGACAAUGUCAGGUGGGGAGUUUGACUGGGGCGGUCGCCUCCGAAAGGGUAUCGGAGGCGCUCAAAGGUUCCCUCAGAAUGGUUGGAAACCAUUCGAAGAGUGCAAAGGCAGAAGGGAGCUUGACUGCGACACCGACGGGUGGAGCAGGUACGAAAGUAGGACUUAGUGAUCCGGUGGUAUAAAGUGGGAUUGCCAUCGCUCAACGGAUAAAAGCUACCCUGGAUAACAGGCUUAUCACUCCCAAGAGUUCACAUCGACGGAGUGGUUUGGCACCUCGAUGUCGGCUCAUCGCAUCCUGGGGCUGAAGUAGGUCCCAAGGGUUGGGCUGUUCGCCCAUUAAAGCGGUACGCGAGCUGGGUUCAGAACGUCGUGAGACAGUUCGGUCCCUAUCCGGCGUGGGCGUAAGAUAUUUGAGAGGAGCUGUCCUUAGUACGAGAGGACCGGGAUGGACUGGCCGCUGGUGUAUCUGUUGUCUUACCAAAGGCAUAGCAGAGUAGCCAAGCCGGGAAGGGAUAAACGCUGAAGGCAUCUAAGCGUGAAGCCCCCCUCAAGAUGAGAUAUCUCAUAACGUCAAGUUAGUAAGACCCCUUGAAGACGACGAGGUAGAUAGGGCAGAGGUGGAAGUGUGGUAACACAUGGAGCUGACUGUUACUAAUAGGUCGAGGGCAUAACCG